GACGAACGCUGGCGGCGUGCCUAAUACAUGCAAGUCGAACGCUGAAGGAGGAGCUUGCUCUUCUGGAUGAGUUGCGAACGGGUGAGUAACGCGUAGGUAACCUGCCUGUUAGCGGGGGAUAACUAUUGGAAACGAUAGCUAAUACCGCAUACCAGCAGCUGUUGCAUGACUUUUGCUUAAAAGGUGCAUUUGCUUCACUACCAGACGGACCUGCGUUGUAUUAGCUAGUUGGUGGGGUAACGGCUCACCAAGGCGAGGAUACAUAGCCGACCGGAGAGGGUGAGUGGCCGAACUGGGACGGUGACACGCCCCAGACGCACUGAGAAGGCGGCAGGAGUGAUACGUCAGGAAUGGGUGGAAGGCAGACCGAGAAACGCCGGGUGAGUGAGGAAGGAUGUCGGGUGGGAAAUCACGGUUGUCAGAGUAGAAACAGGAUGAGAUUGGAAAGUACACACAGUGACGGUAUCUUACCAGAAAGGAACGGCUAACUACGUG
rnacentral:rRNA from 1 species